ACCAGACUCCUACGGGAGGCAGCAGUGGGGGAUAUUGCACAAUGGGGGAAACCCUGAUGCAGCGACGCCGCGUGAGUGAAGAAGUAUUUCGGUAUGUAAAGCCCUAUCAGCAGGGAAGAAGAAAGACGGUACCUGAGUAAGAAGCCCCGGCUAACUACGUGCCAGCAGCCGCGGUAAUACGUAGGGGGCAAGCGUUAUCCGGAUUUACUGGGUGUAAAGGGAGCGUAGACGGUAUGGCAAGUCUGAAGUGAAAGCCCCGGGCUCAACCUGGGAACUGCUUUGGAAACUGUUAAACUAGAGUGCUGGAGAGGCAGGCGGAAUUCCUAGUGUAGCGGUGAAAUGCGUAGAUAUUAGGAGGAACACCAGUGGCGAAGGCGGCCUGCUGGACAGUAACUGACGUUGAGGCUCGAAAGCGUGGGGAGCAAACAGGAUUAGAUACCCCGGUAUCA
rnacentral:rRNA from 1 species